UGUUGGCACGAAAUCAGUGCUCCAAAAUUAUUAACGAGACCAGCUCUCUUUUGCCCACUCCACACUGCCUCAUUUGGUUGUGAUAGCUGACAUUGAAAAACACAGCCGAUGUGUCAAGGAGGAUGAUAAAGAGGAGCAGGGGAGGCCUGUGUUGGAUAAAUUUUGGCAGGACACCUUCUCAUCCAGCACCUUCUCUUGAAGUUUUCAACAAAAGGAUUACUCACAGGGGUAGCAUGACGCCAGGUGACUCUCACGCCCAGCCUCCAUACUGUGAGGAAGCCCAGGCAGCCAUGCAGGGGGGCCACCAUGGAGGAGAGUAGUGGCCUCCACCACAUCCAGCACUGACUUGCUGUCCAUGUGAAGGAGCCGUCUUGAAAAUGGAUCCUCUGGUACCAUCAAUCCUCCUCAAUUGUACACUGUGGAGUGGAGAUGAGCCAUUCCGGCUGACCCUUGCUUAAAUUGCAUAGCUGUAAGCAAAUAAUUAUUGUUGUCAUUCUAUGCCCCUAAAUCUCAAGGGGCUUGUCACAUAGCCACAGCUAAUGUAGUAUCUGUGGGGUUCUGUGUCUGUGUUCCCAGAGUCCAUGUGCUCUUUAUAUGGUAAGGAUACUUUUAUUUUCUUGAGAGGAACCAAUCCCAUUCCCACUCUCAGUAUAUAUGCUUUGAAUGGAGUCGACUCCAUCCUUAGCUCCACGGAUGAGCUCAUGAUGCAGCCUGGCCAAAUCAGAGGAAGUGACCACUGAGUUCCGCUCAUUCUGGAACCAGGUGAAUGACCCAAACAAUGAGAUACAAUGACUUCUCUUUCUUUUCAACUGGCUCAAAACCCAAGAAGACACGAGCCUGGAACUGCCAGAGACAUCAGGUACAGGCUGAGGAUGAAGUAAACAAAGCAGAAGGCUGAGCUGAGAGGUGGAGAGAUGCCAAGUGACGUUGUUUCAGUUUGGCACCAACCGUACCAUUGGCUGCCCUUCCUUGGGACUUGUCUGCUAUGUGGACCGUAAGAUUUGGGUUUAUUUCCUUUGCUUGCAUCAGUUUGAGUUGGCAUUUCUGUCACUUGUGGCAGAAUGAGUCCUCAGACAAAGAGGGUCUGAGGGAUCCCUG